UGNGCUCAGGUACCCAUGAUGCAGUGACAA
rnacentral:piRNA from 1 species